rnacentral:rRNA from 1 species
GAUGAACGCUAGCUACGGGCUUAACACAUGCAAGUCGAGGGGAAACGAUGAGAGAGCUUGCUCUCUUAGACGUCGACCGGCGCACGGAUGAGGAACGCAUACCCAACCUACCCAUUACAGGGGCACAACCUUGCGAAAGUAAGACUAAUAACGCAUGGCAUUUUCAGGUUGCGUCAUUGUAGGAUUAAAGAUUUAGUGAUAAUGGAGGGGGAUGCGUCUGAUUAGCUUGGUGGCGGGGUAACGGCCCACCAAGGCACCGAUCAGUAGGGGUUCGGAGAGGAAGCUCCCCCACAUUGGAACUGGGCCACGGUGCAAACUCCUACGGGAGGCAGCAGUGAGGAAGAUUGGUGAAUGGGCUAGAGCUUGAUCCAGCCAAGUCUCGUGCAGCAUGACCGCCCUAUGGGUUGUAAACUGCUUUUAUAGGGGAAUAAAGUGAGCUACGUGUAGUUUAUUGCAGGUACCCGAUGAAUAAGCACCGGCUAAUUACGUG